rfam:Triticum aestivum genome assembly, contig: Triticum_aestivum_CS42_TGACv1_scaffold_131167_2BL
UUUGUACUCCCUCCGUCCCAAAAUUCUUGUCUUAGAUUUGUCUAGAUAGGGAUGUAUCUAAAACGUAACUAGAUACAUCCGUAUCUAGACAAAUUUAAGACAAGAAUUUUGGGACGAAGGGAGUAAGUA